rnacentral:lncRNA from 1 species
GAUUACCCCGGAUGAAAAGACUCAGAGCUGUGGACUCGUAGCAGGAAGAGCCCUUAGAAACAGGGAACUGCUCUUUUUACAGUUAGGGAUACUGAAGACCAGAGAGGUGCUUGCUUGCCCAAAGUCGCGCAGCUUAGCUUGAAAGUAAAUUAUGGAAGAAUUCUGGUGGGCUUUGGGGUCAGACAGCGUUGAGUUCAAGUCCUGGAUCUAUCACUAUAUUCCUUGGUGUCAGCUUCAUUCCAAGAAUGAAUUCCAAGAGCAUUUGUGGCUCUUUCUGGGUCUCUGAAUCCCCAUCUCCAAAAUAAGGGGAUUGGAUUAGAUUGGAUUAGUCUGCUGCUCAUCUCCACGCCAAACUCCCUCCACCCUCACAAGCCUCAGAGCAGAAGAGAUGAGACACAGAGAGCAGAACACCAUGUGGAGACACAGACACAGAGAGAAGAUGGCCAGGAGGCAGAAAUUGGAGUCACGCUGCCGGGAGCCGGGGAACACCUGGGGCUACCAGAAGAUGGAAGAGCUCCUGUUAGCAAUCUCCAUGCUAUCCAAGUGGCCCGGACUUGUGAUUUCCAGAAGAGUGUAAUGCUGGAAGAUUCUCCUGACACAUCCCAGAAGGAAGCAUUAUUCUCACAGUGUUAUCUUUGCUGCUCUCUGGGUUUGCUCAUCCAGGGAGAUUGUGGCAGCCAUUGUGAUUAUUCUGUUUGUCUGUCUGUCUCUCUCUCAUGCACACACCCCCGCCCCCUCACAUUAGCUUCAUUUCCUAGUGUAACUAGAAGCCCGCACAGGCUCAGCUACAGAGACAGAAAAUCCUGUGGAAGCACGUUGGGCUCAUUAAUAAGGGAAAGUGACUGGUGACUAUAACUUCUAUAGCUUUUAUGAAUUACUAGAAGUGAAUUUUUGGGAAAUUACUAAAUAAUACAUGUUCAACAUAGAAAAAUUAGAAAAGAUAGAUAAGCAAAAAAAAAAAAAAGGGAAUUCACUCCGUGUAUAAGGAAUUUUGUUUUUAUUAAAUACUAGUUUUUUAAAUUGAAAAAAUAAUC